rnacentral:lncRNA from 1 species
AAAGAAUAGAGUAAAGAGCAUAGCACUUACCGGUAGUCGAGAACUCUUGUAGCACUAGAAUGAAGAGGAGAAGAAGAGAAGGGAGGAGAAGAGAUGAGAAGAGAGGAUUCGGCAACAAGAGAAGGAAGAGGAAAAUGCAAUCGACAGGGGAAACCACCAAUAUUCGGCCAACAUCUAAAAGGAAAAAGAAAUGAGAAAAAAAAAUAUUCGGCACCCAAAAGCGAAAAGGCAAAAACGCAAAACUGACCGAAAGCAAACUGACAGAAGAAAAAAAAUUUCAGAAGCCGAUUCCCUUAGUGCCUACUGACCAAAUUCGGCACAAGCACACCCCCAGCUGAAACUUCUAGCUAGAGUUUUCCCCAAACGACACAACUCUCCUCAC